GCAUAUAUAGUCAAAUGAUAAAAAUUUUCUUUGACAAGGAGAAGAUGUGGGUUUGAUUCCCGCUAUCCACU
rfam:Glycine max cultivar Williams 82 chromosome 4, whole genome shotgun sequence.